GAAGUAUCAAAGCAAGGGAGAGCGUGGGAAACCUAGGGCGUAAAGUUGGGGUGAAGAUUGUGCUUCGAGGGAAUUGGUUCACAGGACGGUACCACCGCUUAAGAUCACCUCUCUUCCGCACUGAGGAUCAGGUUGAGCAAUGGCUGAUGGAGAUGAAGUGAAGAGCGGAGCUUUUGUCAUAAGUUAAUUGAACUCUUGGAUACAUGUCUUCAUACAUGUAAUCAGAUUAUGUUAUUCCGCUGCGUACUCUUAGGUUUUAUGUUCUUUCAGUUAAGCCAGUUUUUAUCUGAACCUACAAGUCUGUUCGAGUCUUGUGA